GUAUAUGACUAACCGUCGUCAACGUGUGAGUCUCGUCACGUCAGAGAAGGACGAUGCCAGCCUGUUGACUGCUGCAGUGCGGACGUGUUUUUGGCUAACUUUAUAUUCUUUAAAAAAAAGCUAUUUUAUUUCAAAUGGAAUAGCAAUUUCGGCAGAAUAUGUUAUGGUAGUUAAGUAAAGUUUAUUUGCUGUGUAUUUUUCUUGAUGCGACGCUCGGAACUGCAUCAUCUACUGCCUGGAUUUUUGCCUACAACUGCUCCUGCUGCGUUCGCUUAAUCAACGCAAACAUGAAUAGAAAGACUGUGCCUGUCUCUUUAUCAACCUUAAGACAAAGGACACGUGUAGACGUUCAAAAAAGG